CCGCACGGGUGAGUAACACGUAUGCAAUCCACCUGUAACAGGGGGAUAACCCGGAGAAAUCCGGACUAAUACCCCAUAAUAUGGGCGCUCCGCAUGGAGAGCCCAUUAAAGAGAGCAAUUUUGGUUACAGACGAGCAUGCGCUCCAUUAGCCAGUUGGCGGGGUAACGGCCCACCAAGCGACGAUGGAUAGGGGUUCUGAGAGGAAGGUCCCCCACAUUGGAACUGAGACACGGUCCAA
rnacentral:rRNA from 1 species